rnacentral:rRNA from 1 species
UUUCCGUUGGGGGAUAACGUAGGGAAAACUUACGCUAAUACCGCAUACGACCUACGGGUGAAAGCCGGGGACCUUCGGGCCUGGCGCGAAUGAAUGAGCCGAUGCCCGAUUAGCUAGUUGGCGGGGUAAGAGCCCACCAAGGCGACGAUCGGUAGCUGGUCUGAGAGGAUGAUCAGCCACACUGGAACUGAGACACGGUCCAGACUCCUACGGGAGGCAGCAGUGGGGAAUAUUGGACAAUGGGCGCAAGCCUGAUCCAGCCAUACCGCGUGGGUGAAGAAGGCCUUCGGGUUGUAAAGCCCUUUUGUUGGGAAAGAAAAGCAGUCGGUUAAUACCCGAUUGUUCUGACGGUACCCAAAGAAUAAGCACCGGCUAACUUCGUGCCAGCAGCCGCGGUAAUACGAAGGGUGCAAGCGUUACUCGGAAUUACUGGGCGUAAAGCGUGCGUAGGUGGUUGUUUAAGUCUGUCGUGAAAGCCCUGGGCUCAACCUGGGAAUUGCGAUGGAAACUGGGCGACUAGAGUGUGGCAGAGGAUAGUGGAAUUCCUGGUGUAGCAGUGAAAUGCGUAGAGAUCAGGAGGAACAUCCGUGGCGAUGCGACUGU